rnacentral:tRNA from 1 species
AGGUAAGGUGGCCGAGAGAUAGGCGGUGGCUUGUAGGUCCAACUCAGGGAGGUUCAAGUCCUCUCCUCACCA